GCUACUUUCUUUAUCACCAUUUCUUUUCUAAUUUCCAUUUUAUUAAGGAGAAAAAUGGGAGAAGAAAGUAAGGUAUAAAUGUUGGUGUUAAAAGUGUUUCAAUCAAUUGUUUUUUUUCUUAGUUUACAUUUACUAGUAAUUCCGUUACUUUAUAAUACCAAACAAAAGAUAACAAUAAAUCUUAAAGUUUCCCUUUCCGAUCCUUAAAGGUUUUUAUUCCCUUUCCAUUUCAUAAAAUAUACCAAACAUGUCCUUAAUGAAUUUCAGCACAACAUCGUUCUAUGAAAACCUAAAAUCAUUAAUUAACCACAUACAAUUCAAAAUCACACACAAUCAAUCAAGUUUUCAAACCAAUUGAUCCAAGUAUGCUUGGAUGAGGUCUUAGAACAACAUUUGUACAAAUUAGAUCAGCAGCAACAAAUUGAAACAAAUCAUAAUUACAAAAAUUCAGCAGUAAUAGAUUUAUUGAUGUGCAAGUUCAGGAGUGUGUGUAGCACUGUAGGUGAGAGCAACAAAUCAGAUCAGCAUAUGAAGUUCAGAGCAGAUCCGUAAGUGUGCACAAUACAGACAAAUCAGCACAGUAGGUCAGCAAGUCAGUAACAGAAUGUGCAGAAUGUCUAACAGCCAGCAGCAGUAGCAAGUCAGCACAGUAGGAUUAGCAAGUCAGUAACAGAAUGUCUAACAGCCAGCAGCAGCAGCGCGAUGCAGACAGAAGAAUAGUGGCUCUGAUCAGCAACAGUGCAGCAUAUCUGUACACAGAUCAGAAUGUGCAGCAAUUUAGGAUCAACAAGUCAGUGUUUUAAGCAGCCUUGGGUAGAGUUUCAGAUCAGCAGGUCAGCACCAACUCAGUACUGAACAGAGACUGUGUGCAGCUCUAAUUUGGGGCUGUGUUGUGUCAUCAUUGUUGGGCAGCAUGCAGCAACAGUGCUUCACAAAGUGCAGAACAAAGUGGUAAUUCGAAGGUGUGCAACAAAGCCAAGGACUAAUCUUUGGUAGUUUGAAGAGUCCAAUCUUAAUUCCGCAAACAAACAAGUUUGGUCUAAUCUUUGGGACCAUACUCGCAUCACCAAUUAUCACAUGUCUUUCAUAACUUAUUCAUAGCUGUUUGGUUUCAACAUAUUUACGAUUGGUAACGGUAACAAGUAACCAUUACCGUUUCAACUUGUUUGUUUAGCAUCAAGGGAUAAGCAAAUCCAUUAGUUGAGGAUAAUAGAUUCCAUUACCUUGUUACUAGACUAGAAGUAGCGGUAACAAAAUUAUUCUUUAUUCUUCUAUCAUCCCUGAUCUCCCUCUACGUGAAGCAGUCAAAGAAUUAUAUGGAUGUGGGAGUUGGGAAGCAACACUCCAAUGCUGAUGUACCACCACACCUCUAUUUCUUUUGAUUCCCUUACCCUCCUAUCAAACAAUUAUUAAUAAUAACACUUAUCAUUACCCUUACUCAUCUUUACCCUUUUCCUUUCCGUUUCAUUUCCCUUAGGCAUACCAAACACUCCACAAAAUAUCAUCAUGAAUUAACACACUAAAACAAGAAUAUAAGGGAAUACACCAACAAAAGAUUUCAAGUAGCCUUCAAGAUGGUUGGACCUUGAAAUUCUUUAUAGCACCAUAUUCUAACUCAGUAAGAAAUCUUUAUAGUGUUGAUUGGCAAAGCAAGUAAGAAAUCCCCAUUAAUGGCAGAAGCUAUUAUUGAAGAGCUGAAUUUAGAGUACACUCCAACAUGGGUUGUUGCUCUUGUUUGUUUUUGCAUCAUCUCUAUAUCUCUUCUUGUUGGAUGUUGUCUUCACUAUGUUGGAAAGAAUACUCAUCGGUUCCUGAAUACUAUAUUCAUCCGUCCCGGACCGCUCGUCAAUUAUUGUGAGGUAAUCUUAAUUGAUGCUAAUUAUUGUCCUUAUGCUAUUCAAUAGAAAUUUUUAUACUGUAAUUGGAAAUUAAAUUUUUUUGAGAAUAAUUUGUGGUUGCAUCAUAGUUGCUAUUGUUGUGAGAAAGAAAGUUAGAAUUGCAGAGAAGAAUUUAGGUUUUUGCACAGAUAAUAGACAAGAAGAACAAUUUUGAAUGCAAUGAGAGAUGCAGGUUAUUUUCUUUCAGCUUUGUUGAAUGAGAUCAUUACAAGUUUAUAGACAUUAUCGGUAUUAAGGAAAACAAGUGUUUUACAUUGAAGAUGGAAUAAGAACAGGAUGGUCACACGUUAAGACUAAGCCUAGAGACUUGUUUGAUUUAGGCGACACUCCUUGAUUGUAUGAUUUGCGAUUUGUUUGAUAAUAUUUUUAUUUAAUUUUCUUGUUUUAGAUUUUUUUAAUUUUAUUUGGUAUUGAAUUAGUUACACCAAAAUCAAUCAGAAACACCAGCCAUCCUAUCAGCAACAAAGGAUUUCCAUUUAUACUACUCUAAACAUUCUGUGCACCUGGACAGUAAUUGGACCACAGCAUUCAAGGCAACACAACACCCACUUAGAGGACUUGUGAAAAGAAAGUAUUCCAUGUGCAUACAUCAAGAUAAAAGGGGUUAAGGAUGAGUUUUAAAAGUAAACGAAACGUUAUUCAACAUUGCAACAAAGACAUUUUUACUUUGAAUUCUAUGUACAACUAUUUAGCUAAUGACAUUGAAGUUUAGUUCCUUUUUUGAUAAUGAACUUUUGUAGAACAAUUACUUUUAGUUAUUUAGAUGAUUGAAAUAAUACACAUUUUUUGUAGAUUCUAGAUAGUUUAUAUUUGAAUGAAGUACUUAUUUUAGUGCUUGAGCAAAGCGUCGCUAUAGUAGGGUUUAUAUCACUAUUAGAAAAUGUGUCGCAAUUAGCGAGUAGUGAUGUCAAUAAGCGUCACAAAACUAGUGCUGAAGACAAGGGUCACAAAAGAGAAAAAUAUAAUUAUAAGUGGCGCAAAAUAGCCCAAUACAAACUUGAAAACAGGUCACAAAUUGUAGAUUGACAAAGUAAAAUGUCGCAAUAACAAAAAUAGAGACUGAAAAAAGCGUCACAAACUGAAACACAA